GUGGGGAAUAUUGGACAAUGGGCGAAAGCCUGAUCCAGCAAUGCCGCGUGAGUGAUGAAGGCCUUCGGGUUGUAAAGCUCUUUAGUCCACGAAUAUAAUGACUGUAGUGGAAGAAUAAGCCCCGGCUAACUUCGUGCCAGCAGCCGCGGUAAUACGAAGGGGGCGAGCGUUAUUCGGAAUCACUGGGCGUAAAGCGUGCGUAGGCUGUUUUGUAAGUCAGAAUUGAAAGCACAGGGCUUAACCCUGGAAUUGCUUUUGAAACUACAAAACUCGAAUUCGUGAGAGGAUAGCGGAAUUGUCAGUGUAGCAGUGAAAUGCGUAGAUAUUGACAGGAACACCAGUGGCGCAAGCGGCUAUCUGGACCGAUAUUGACGCUGAGGCACGAAAGCGUGGGGAGCAAACAGGAUUAGAAACCCGGGUAGUCC
rnacentral:rRNA from 1 species